CUGCGAAGGGGGGACGGAGAAGGCUAUGUUGGCCGGGCGACGGUUGUCCCGGUUUAAGCGUGUAGGCUGGUUUUCCAGGCAAAUCCGGAAAAUCAAGGCUGAGGCGUGAUGACGAGGCACUACGGUGCUGAAGCAACAAAUGCCCUGCUUCCAGGAAAAGCCUCUAAGCAUCAGGUAACAUCAAAUCGUACCCCAAACCGACACAGGUGGUCAGGUAGAGAAUACCAAGGCGCUUGAGAGAACUCGGGUGAAGGAACUAGGCAAAAUGGUGCCGUAACUUCGGGAGAAGGCACGCUGAUAUGUAGGUGAAGUCCCUUGCGGAUGGAGCUGAAAUCAGUCGAAGAUACCAGCUGGCUGCAACUGUUUAUUAAAAACACAGCACUGUGCAAACACGAAAGUGGACGUAUACGGUGUGACGCCUGCCCGGUGCCGGAAGGUUAAUUGAUGGGGUCAGCGCAAGCGAAGCUCUUGAUCGAAGCCCCGGUAAACGGCGGCCGUAACUAUAACGGUCCUAAGGUAGCGAAAUUCCUUGUCGGGUAAGUUCCGACCUGCACGAAUGGCGUAAUGAUGGCCAGGCUGUCUCCACCCGAGACUCAGUGAAAUUGAACUCGCUGUGAAGAUGCAGUGUACCCGCGGCAAGACGGAAAGACCCCGUGAACCUUUACUAUAGCUUGACACUGAACAUUGAGCCUUGAUGUGUAGGAUAGGUGGGAGGCUUUGAAGUGUGGACGCCAGUCUGCAUGGAGCCGGCCUUGAAAUACCACCCUUUAAUGUUUGAUGUUCUAACGUGGACCCGUGAUCCGGGUUGCGGACAGUGUCUGGUGGGUAGUUUGACUGGGGCGGUCUCCUCCUAAAGAGUAACGGAGGAGCACGAAGGUUGGCUAAUCCUGGUCGGACAUCAGGAGGUUAGUGCAAUGGCAUAAGCCAGCUUGACUGCGAGCGUGACGGCGCGAGCAGGUGCGAAAGCAGGUCAUAGUGAUCCGGUGGUUCUGAAUGGAAGGGCCAUCGCUCAACGGAUAAAAGGUACUCCGGGGAUAACAGGCUGAUACCGCCCAAGAGUUCAUAUCGACGGCGGUGUUUGGCACCUCGAUGUCGGCUCAUCACAUCCUGGGGCUGAAGUAGGUCCCAAGGGUAUGGCUGUUCGCCAUUUAAAGUGGUACGCGAGCUGGGUUUAGAACGUCGUGAGACAGUUCGGUCCCUAUCUGCCGUGGGCGCUGGAGAACUGAGGGGGGCUGCUCCUAGUACGAGAGGACCGGAGUGGACGCAUCACUGGUGUUCGGGUUGUCAUGCCAAUGGCACUGCCCGGUAGCUAAAUGCGGAAGAGAUAAGUGCUGAAAGCAUCUAAGCACGAAACUUGCCCCGAGAUGAGUUCUCCCUGACCCUUUAAGGGUCCUGAAGGAACGUUGAAGACGACGACGUUGAUAGGCCGGGUGUGUAAGCGCAGCGAUGCGUUGAGCUAACCGGUACUAAUGAACCGUGAG
rnacentral:rRNA from 1 species